rnacentral:tRNA from 1 species
GGGCCUGUGGCUUAGUCUGGCUAGAGCACUCGACUGAUAAUCGAGAGGUCGUGAGUUCAAAUCUCAUCAGGCCCA